rfam:Fusarium oxysporum f. sp. raphani 54005 unplaced genomic scaffold supercont1.14, whole genome shotgun sequence.
UCCCGGCUGACGCAAUUGGUUAGCGUGUCAGACUUUUACAAAAUGAUGAAAUCUGAAAGUUGUGAGUUCGAGUCUCACGUCGGGAG